rnacentral:tRNA from 1 species
UUUUAUAUAGCUCAGUUGGUUAGAGCGUGGUGCUAAUAAUGCCAAGGUCGCAGGUUCGUAUGGGCCAAUGCAUGUUUUGGGCG